AACGAACGCUGGCGGCAUGCCUAACACAUGCAAGUCGAACGAGACCUUCGGGUCUAGUGGCGCACGGGUGCGUAACGCGUGGGAACCUGCCCUUAGGUUCGGAAUAACUCCCCGAAAGGGGUGCUAAUACCGGAUAAUGUCUUCGGACCAAAGAUUUAUCGCCUUUGGAUGGGCCCGCGUUGGAUUAGCUAGUUGGUAGGGUAAAAGCCUACCACGGCGACGAUCCAUAGCUGGUCUGAGAGGAUGAUCAGCCACACUGGGACUGAGACACGGCCCAGACUCCUACGGGAGGCAGCAGUGGGGAAUAUUGGAAAAUGGGCGAAAGCCUGAUCCAGCAAUGCCGCGUGAGUGAUGAAGGCCUUAGGGUUGUAAAGCUCUUUUACCCGGGAUGAUAAUGACAGUACCGGGAGAAUAAGCUCCGGCUAACUCCGUG
rnacentral:rRNA from 1 species